UUUUUUUUUUUUUUUUUUUAUAAACAAAAAAACUUAGUUUAUUGAUGAAUGUUUAUUUGCUGGAAGUUCUGCUUCAGCUUAUGGACUAAAAUCAAUUGUUUUUAAGCUUAAAAAAAUUAAUUAAAAUUGUAAGAUGAAUUGAGUAUAAGUAGAAUAUUAGCAUAGGGAUGCUCUUCUCUGGUUAAUUGAUUACUUAAAAAUCUGUAUUUUGCUAUUGUUGAGUUUUUGGCAUUUGAGUUUGAAGGUGAAGAAAAACCAAAAAAUAUGGACCCUAGUCCAGAUACUAUACGUUACUCUAAUGAACCACAUUAUUUGCACCACUAGUCUAAGGUUAAAUCACAUGUAUUCUAGCAUGAAUCAAACCAUAUAAUCAGAGUCUUAAGUGUACCUAAGAAUUGCAGAACUUUGUACUCCACCAAAUGCUUGAAAAAUGAGAGUUUUGUUAUGCUAAUCAAAGCAUCCCGAAGAACAAAUUUCCUUCACUGUUUUUUCCUUCAACUUUGUAACUUAAACAAACUUUUUUUUUCUUUCUUUUCACAACUGUAGGGACAUAACCACCCCACAUGGCUUUUGAUAUAUAUAUGUGUGUGUGUGUGU
rnacentral:misc_RNA from 1 species